CAAGUACUCCCCCCGUCCGGAAUUACUUAUCAUCAAAAUGGAUGUGUCUAGAACUAAAAUACAUCUAGAUACAUCCAUUUCAAUGACAAGUAUUUUCGGACGGAGGGAGUACAAG
rnacentral:pre_miRNA from 1 species